rnacentral:rRNA from 1 species
CACAGGUGGAGUUUCCUGUACUGCGGUAUGACAGAACUGUGGGGACACGUAAGGAAAGCGGAAGCCGGGAAUGGAAAGCCCGGUGCGAGCGGGGUACCAGCCACUUUGGCAAAUCCGGGUGGCAAUGGGAAGCCGUGAUGCGGAGCGAGAUAAAGUAGCGAAGUCCGUGAGCCAUGCGUCAAGAAAAGCCGCUGUCGUUUAUACCGUACCCGUACCGUAAACCGACACAGGUGGAUGAGGAGAGAAUCCUAAGGCCGGCGGAAGAAGCAUUGUCAAGGAACUCGGCAAAAUGGCCCCGUAACUUAGGGAUAAGGGGUGCCUGGGAAACCAGGCCGCAGAGAAUAGGCUCAAGCAACUGUUUAGCAAAAACACAGGUCUAUGCGAAACCGAAAGGUGAGGUAUAUGGGCUGACGCCUGCCCGGUGCUGGAAGGUUAAGAGGAGAGGUUAGCGGUAACGCGAAGCUUUGAAUUUAAGCCCCAGUAAACGGCGGCCGUAACGAUAACGGUCCUAAGGUAGCGAAAUUCCUUGUCGGGUAAGUUCCGACCCGCACGAAAGGCGUAAUGAUUUGAGCGCUGUCUCGACAAUGCAUCCGGUGAAAUUGAAGUACCAGUGAAGAUGCUGGUUACCUGCGCCAGGACGGAAAGACCCCAUGGAGCUUUACUCCAGUCUGGUACUGGGACUCGGUAUUGCAUGUACAGGAUAGGUGGGAGGCUGAGAAAUGGUAACGCCAGUUGCCAUGGAGCCGCUGUUGGGAUACCACCCUUGCAGUAUUGGGUUUCUAACCAGCCGCCGUGACCCGGCGGUGGGACAAUGCCAGACGGGGAGUUUGACUGGGGCGGUCGCCUCCGAAAGGGUAUCGGAGGCGCCCAAAGGUUCCCUCAGAAUGGACGGAAACCAUUCGAAGAGUGCAAAGGCAGAAGGGAGCUUGACUGCGACACCGACGGGUGGAGCAGGUACGAAAGUAGGGCUUAGUGAUCCGGUGGUAUUAAGUGGGAAUGCCAUCGCUCAACGGAUAAAAGCUACCCUGGGAUAACAGGCUUAUCACUCCCAAGAGUUCACAUCGACGGAGUGGUUUGGCACCUCGAUGUCGGCUCAUCGCAUCCUGGGGCUGUAGUAGGUCCCAAGGGUUGGGCUGUUCGCCCAUUAAAGCGGUACGCGAGCUGGGUUCAGAACGUCGUGAGACAGUUCGGUCCCUAUCCGGCGUGGGCGUAGGAUAUCUGAGAGGAGCUGUCCUUAGUACGAGAGGACCGGGAUGGACGGGCCGCUGGUGCAUCGGUUAGACUGCCAAGUCUACGGCCGAGUAGCCAAGCCCGGAAGGGAUAAACGCUGAAGGCAUCUAAGCGUGAAGCCCCCCUUAAGAUGAGAUAUCCCAUUCGAAAGAAGUAAACCCCCUUGAAGACGACGAGGUAGAUAGGGCAGAGGUGGAAGUGCAGCAAUGCAUGGAGCUGACUGUUACUAAUCGGGUGAGGGCUUGACCG